AAGUAGUAGUCUAGUAGUUAUAUGUACAGAUAAAAAUUGUAGGAAUAGUUAUAAAAAUAACUAUUCCUACAAUUUUUAUCUGUACAUAUAACUACUAGACUACUACUUAGAU